rnacentral:rRNA from 1 species
CUACGGGUGGCUCCAGUGGGGAAUAUUGCACAAUGGAGGAAACUCUGAUGCAGCAACGCCGCGUGGAGGAUGACGCAUUUCGGUGUGUAAACUCCUUUUAUAUGUCAAGAAAAUGACGGUAGCAUAUGAAUAAGCACCGGCUAACUCCGUGCCAGCAGCCGCGGUAAUACGGAGGGUGCAAGCGUUACUCGGAAUCACUGGGCGUAAAGGACGCGUAGGCGGGUUGGAAAGUCAGGUGUGAAAUCCUACAGCUUAACUGUAGAACUGCACUUGAAACUUCUAAUCUAGAGUAUGGGAGGGGGAGAUGGAAUUAGUGGUGUAGGGGUAAAAUCCGUAGAUAUCACUAGGAAUACCUAAAGCGAAGGCGAUCUCCUGGAACAUUACUGACGCUAAGGCGUGAAAGCGUGGGGAGCAAACAGGAUUAGAUACCCCGGUAGUC